GGGGGAAUAUUGGGGCAAUGGGGGGAAACCCUGACCCAGCAACGCCGCGUGGAGGAAGAAGGUUUUCGGAUCGUAAACUCCUGUCCUCAGGGAAGAGGAGAAGACGGUACCUGAGGAGGAAGCCCCGGCUAACUACGUGCCAGCAGCCGCGGUAAUACGUAGGGGGCAAGCGUUGUCCGGAAUGAUUGGGCGUAAAGGGCGCGUAGGCGGCUCGGUAAGUCUGGAGUGAAAGUCCUGCCUUCAAGGUGGGAAUUGCUUUGGAUACUGUCGGGCUUGAGUGCAGGAGAGGUAAGUGGAAUUCCCAGUGUAGCGGUGAAAUGCGUAGAGAUUGGGAGGAACACCAGUGGCGAAGGCGACUUACUGGGCACCAACUGACGCUGAGGCUCGAAAGCAUGGGUAGCAAACAGGAUUAGAUACCCUGGUAGU
rnacentral:rRNA from 1 species